GGAUGUGAGGGCAAUCUAGCUAUGAUAUCCAUCACCCCAUUGAUAGAGUUGAUUUCAGUGAUCUGGCUGGCUAGGUAUGUGUCCUUCCUCACAUCUCCAGUGCUUCCCUCUUGAAACUGCAGGCUAGGUCAAAGAGGAUGACCUUCCCUGACAGAGGAGGACAGUUCUUAGAUCAAGAACAUAUGAGUAGCUGCCUUCCCCUGAUACAAUUUCCAAACAGGCUCUCAAGGUCCAUUUAGGUAGUCAAACAUCUAAGACUCCAGACACAUUCAAACAUCCAAAUCAGGUGCUGCAAGUGGCAGUCUGCUCUACUUA
rnacentral:snRNA from 1 species